GCCGAAAAUCCCAGUAACUCAGAUGAAUCUUGAUGCUGUGAAGCAGGAGUAUAUUUUGCGCUCCUCUCUCGAACCAGUCCAAUCUCAGCAUAAGAAUCCAAUGUCUGAGGACUAGAAGAUUCUCUUUUAUCUGCUGACUGAAGCUCAGUUGCUGUACCAGAAUCUGGAGAAUUAGACUCUGAACUUCGGACCUGGUCAUCAAGUAAAUCGACCUGCCUGCUGCCAGAGGCAUCUUCAGUAGAAAUCUCCAGAGCAGAUACUGACUGACUGGCUGAUGAUUCUCCGUUCAGU
rnacentral:misc_RNA from 1 species